UACGAAGGGAGCUAGCGUUGUUCGGAAUCACUGGGCGUAAAGCGCACGUAGGCGGACGUGUCAGUCAGGGGUGAAAUCCCGGAGCUCAACUUCGGAACUGCCUUUGAUACAGCACGUCUUGAGUCCGGAAGAGGUGGGUGGAAUUCCUAGUGUAGAGGUGAAAUUCGUAGAUAUUAGGAAGAACACCGGUGGCGAAGGCGGCCCACCUGGUC
rnacentral:rRNA from 1 species